CCUACGGGCGGCAGCAGUGGGGAAUAUUGCACAAUGGGCGCAAGCCUGAUGCAGCCAUGCCGCGUGUAUGAAGAAGGCCUUCGGGUUGUAAAGUACUUUCAGCGGGGAGGAAGGUGUUGUGGUUAAUAACCGCAGCAAUUGACGUUACCGCAGAAGAAGCACCGGCUAACUCCGUGCCAGCAGCCGCGGUAAUACGGAGGGUGCAAGCGUUAAUCGGAAUUACUGGGCGUAAAGCGCACGCAGGCGGUCUGUCAAGUCGGAUGUGAAAUCCCCGGGCUCAACCUGGGAACUGCAUUCGAAACUGGCAGGCUAGAGUCUUGUAGAGGGGGGUAGAAUUCCAGGUGUAGCGGUGAAAUGCGUAGAGAUCUGGAGGAAUACCGGUGGCGAAGGCGGCCCCCUGGACAAAGACUGACGCUCAGGUGCGAAAGCGUGGGGAGCAAACAGGAUUAGAUACCCGUGUAGUC
rnacentral:rRNA from 1 species